rnacentral:rRNA from 1 species
CCGGCCGCCAAAGGGCCCUCGCGCAGUUCGGAUCCCCAAGGACCGUUCCGCGUCCGCGUCCCGGGGGCCGGGGUGCACUUUCUCCGCGGUCGAGUGCUACGACCGGUUUCGCGGCGGUCAGAAGCCCGGCGGAAAGGUAGCGCCGCCCCUCGGGGUGUCGUGUUAUAGGCCGCCGCGGUGGACUCGCCGCGAGACCGAGGACGCUUGCCGCGCCGAGCGGUCCCGGGCCGUCUUGGGAGGUUCGACCUCGGCUGCACUGCUCCGCAGAGCACCGUAACCGCCGCCCUAGCACGGGUCCGGAGACUGCCGGCGCCUCGGGUCAGUAGCG